GCCGUCGUAGCUCAAAUGGCAGAGCGCUGGACUCCAAAUCCAGUGGUUGGGAGUUCGAGUCCGCCCCGGCGGUG
rnacentral:tRNA from 1 species